rnacentral:miRNA from 1 species
GGUCAUUCAGAACUCUGC